ensembl:lncRNA
GUGUUUUAAAGUUGAUUUCACUGUAGGGUGAAGAUAAAACCUUUUCACUGUUCAUUAACCUUUAUUUUGGGGUGUUUCUGUUAAUAAGUUAUCUUUCUUGCUUUUGUUUUUAUUAUUUCUGUACUUUAUUCUUUGUAUUUUUUUCCUGCUGCAAAUGUCUAUAUUGUCUUGUCAUCUGCUAUUUGCUGUUAGUUUUGGUUGCAUUUCAGUGUUAUUUUUUAGAUGUAUUUUUUAGUGGAAGAAUAAAUCAUAUCAUGUUAUUUUGAAUGAACUUAUUUAAUGAAUGUAAAAUGUUUGAAUGAUCCCUUGAAUCUCUGAAUGCAUUGUCACUGAAUUACAUUGCCUUUCACAGAAACUUACAGCUAAUCAGUUUAUAACACAUAUAUUUAUGCUCUAUUUCUAGGUAUCUGUAGUUUAUUUUUAAUUCUUUUGUAAUUACAGACCUUGAUACUAUGACAUAAUCUGCUUGUCUUUGUUAGAAGCAGAAGAAAGAAUAUCACCUGUAGUCACUUCCAAAAGCAGAGUCAGUUAAAGUCAAUUGGUUCUAUUAUCACUGUGCUCUUCACAUUCAUAUGCCUCAAACUGGACAGAAGCCCUUUAAAUUUAUCUGCUGUAUCGAGGCAAUCAAAAGACAAGGAAUGGCAGUCACUGAGAAUGCAUUGCUUUGGAUCUCAGUAUCAGUAUUUGCCUUAAGAAAUACAGUGAGCCAUUCAACCCAAGGAGGGAUACUUCUGCUUUUAAUCAGCAGUUUUAGAAUGGCAUUAUUAACUUUUCUUUUAACUUGUUUUAUUAAUUAAAUAUUAUAACUGUAUAGUGAAUAGAUACAGGGAAGAAUGCAAAGAGUAUUUGAUGAAGCCUGACAAAGGAGAGAAUGUUCUAACUUUUUCAGAAUAAGAAAAAUAUACAGCUUUCCAUCAGAUUUCUUAGAUUUGAUGUUGAGACUCUAAUGUGAUCCAAAGCAGACAGCUCCUUUCUUUUAAAUGGUAAAACGUUAUCACUUAGAGAGCAAAUAACAGAGCAAAACUGUUAGGUGAUAAUAGAUGGUAGGCUAUAUACAUUGUUUUGUACUUAUCAAUGUAUAAGAACAUGUGAGUUAGGUGAUAGGCUUUUGAGUACAAAUGUGAAUUAUUAUUUUUGUGUAAAUACAAGAAAUGUGUCAUUCAAUAGGAGAAUGGAAUUAAGAACAUGAAACUUUGAUGUUAUAAGAUGGCUGGAUUGACUAUAUAGAUAUAGUUCAAAAUUUCUGUAUCUAGACAUAAACUUAGAUUGUGGCAGAACAUGCUUUACUGUUAGACUGCACAGGAUUUUAUAGGAAGGAUGUCUUGAAGGAUAGUGAACAUUUUUCCUUGGUUCUCAUGCAUCGGGAGAACUUUGACUCUCAGAGUGAUGCUAUAGGUAUCAAAACUUGAGAAACGUUAGAAUUAUAUUCCUCAGUUCCUCAGUGAAGUAUGAUUUACUUCUGCUGAGAUCACGGAAUUCAUAGUGGUAAUACUUGUUUUGUUCCACCAUUCCUAAAAGCUUACCUGUAGGUCUUUAGGUAGGAAAGAGCAGAACAUCCUUUACUUUGCCGUGCUAGUGUUUACCACAUCUUCUGUCUAAAUGUUGGAGUUCAACAUGCAAACUGCUAAUAUACUCUAACAGCAUUUUGCAGAUUAUAAGAUUAUUUUUGUAACCCUUGUUUGCAUGUGAGUUUAAUACUAGUAUCUCUGGUAGUUUCUUCAUGUUGCACUUAUUAGACACAAAUCAUCAUCAAAGAGUGUGUUGUGUGGGCAGGAGACCUGGCUCUUGACUGAUAAGCUGCAAUUGGAAUUCUCUUCCCAGAGCCAACAGAGAUGAUUAUUAAUUGUAAUUAUUUGAAUAUUUUUUCCAUGUCACUGGAAUAAUAAAGUUAAAGUUUAAGGAAACAGAUUCUGAUCUGGUAGGAGUCAGUAGCAGCUUUCAGCUGGGUAGUCAGUAUACUGUGACAAAUUCUAUCGUUGCAGCAACAUUGAGCUCUCUAUGCAGCUCUCUCUUCUUUUGUGGUGGGUUUUUAAGCUAUGGACUAAUUUAGACCAUUGGUACCCAAGCAUCUCAGCUGGCCAAUGUGCUCCCAUCUUUUUCUUCGGUUAUAUUUCCUCCAGACUGUUCCUGGACAUCAACUCUAGACAGUUUCUUGGAUAACAGACUGGUGGUAACCUUCAGGAGUUGUAACAGCAGCAUGUGCUUGGAUCAAAAAAGAGACUUGAGCUCUGUUCUUAAAUAACAGGCAAGUUCAGCUCUUGUUUACACGCAUGAGACUUUUACUGACAAUGAUGAGCUUAGAGAUGUAUAUACUACUCACGCAGAAUACAUAAUCAAGACUGGAAACUAAUAAUUCUGAGACACCAGCUUUUAAAAAGACAGGAUUUAGAUGUGUUUGUGAUUACGGUGAUAUUUUAAACAAUUCUCAUAAUAAAGUGCUCUGCAUGUGUGAGUAUUGCUUACUGACUGAAAGGUAGAUCACAAACGUGUAUGUGGGAUCUCACACCUGGCAGAAAACCAUUUUGUUGUCUCCUAUCUGCAGCCCUGUUUGGGCAUGCUUCAUUAGCUCCACCUGUGCAGGAGAAGUAGAGGAAAGAGUCCUGAGACAAAUCUGGAUCUUGGGGUAAAGUCUGUAUUGAUCUGUAGGUUGUAAAACUCUUUCUCCUGUAGUCUGUGAAAAUUCAGAACAGAAGCAACAAUCAAAGGAAGAAAAGCUUAUUUUUACAAAAUAGGAUUUUAAAAUCUUUCAUUGUAAUCCUAGACGGGCUUUGUUCUGACUGACUGCUAGGAUCAGAUUUACGCCAACUUUGGGGGAGUCCCAGUGGGGCAAAAUUGUUGCUUAACCUGGUAGAUAGCUUCCAGUAAUGGAUAGUUUAUAUAAAAUGGGAAUGUUUGGAUCAUUAAAUCUUAACUUGGAUUUUUUUUGCUAAGGAGCCACGUCCAGGCUCCAUUAACAUUUCAUCUUAUAAGCUUCUGUAAUUAGUUUCCUGUGAAAUUCUUACUUUGCCAUAGUCCUUUCUUUGUCCUUUCAAAACAAAAUUGUUAAAGAAUUUAAACAAUGGACUAUAGAUAAUUUGUUUGAAAUCAAGGAACAGCUUUACACCUUCAUGUCCAAGAGAGGCAAAAGACCUGAAAUACUGCAGGACAUAGAUGUGCCACCUGUUCCUCGGUGUCCUCUAUACUCAAGGAAUUGUGUACAAGAAUCUUGGUGUGACUGUCUAAAGGCAAAUAAACAAGAUUUAACAUGCAUUGUGACUUUAGAAAUUGGAAUAAUGAUAAAAACUUUCAGAAAACUAACAUGAACUUUAUUUAGUAGUAAUGUUAUUUUUUAGCUUCUGGGAACAGCGUUUCUUUUUGUCAUGUAAUCUGGAAUAUUUCAACCAUGUAAUCCUAUGU